GUUUGUUAAGUAUUCUAGUUAAGAGUGUUGUGAUUGUUUUCCAUAGAGGAGUGAGUUUGGGGCAUGUCCACCAGCAGUGGAGGAAAGUGCCGGUUUCGCCACACAUUUUCCAGCAGAGGUUAUUGGGUAUUUGGUUCAUUGCCUUUAGGCGGAGGGGGGUUAGGUACCACCUGAAGAGCAUUUUAUAAGCUUGCUCUUUAUGGGUGACGCAGAUUGAGAUGGAGUUGAU